UACCAGCACCCCGAGUGGUCGGGACGUUUUUAUUGGGCCUAAAGCAUCCGUAGCCGGUUCUACAAGUCUUCCGUUAAAUCCAGCUGCUUAACAGAUGGGCUGCGGAAGAUACUAUGGAGCUAGGAGGCGGGAGAGGCAAGCGGUACUCGAUGGGUAGGGGUAAAAUCCGUUGAUCCAUUGAAGACCACCAGUGGCGAAGGCGGCUUGCCAGAACGCGCUCGACGGUGAGGGAUGAAAGCUGGGGGAGCAAACCGG
rnacentral:rRNA from 1 species